CGCUUCCCGAUCGCGCCCUCCCAGUACCGGGGACGCGGCGUUCGCGCUCCCGCCCGAGUCCCCGGGAAGUGGAGACAAGGAGGCGCCCCGGCCCUGCGCCUGCAGCAUGCCCUCCGCGGAGCCAAGCGCCACCCUCCUCCCGGAGCUCGCGGAGGCGAAGACGCUGCUGCCUGCGGGGCCACGGGUGCGAGGGUAGCGGGGCCGGAGCCGCGCACUGAGGCGCCGCGAGGCGAGCGGACCGGGAGGAGGCACAGGCGUCCUCCUGGGCGCGGCGGGCGGCGUCCCCUGCUGCCCUGGCGGCGGCUCCCGCACGCCUAUGGCUCGGGAGGAAGGAGAAUGCGAGCGGCACUCCCCGCCGGCCGCCGCCGCCUCCCCCCACGCCGCCUGCUCGGCCCUUCCCGGAGCUGCUCGUGUCGCCGCCGCCCCCCAGCUGCGGGCGCCGGGCCUCUGGCUGCGCUAGGACUCACCGCCGCCGGCCGCCGAGAGGUGGAGGGAAGGGAGGAGCAGGAGCCAGAGGGCCCAGGAGACGGGCGCCGGCUCUUGCGCAGCGCGGCAUGUAGCGGUGGGCUCCCGCGCCCGCGUGAGGGUGACGGCCCCGGGCCCCGCCAUGGCUGGGAAGGACAGCGGGAACCUGAAGACGGUGAGGCUGUGGCGGGACGCCGCCCUGCGCGCCAGGAAGCUGCGGGGCAACCUGCGCCAGCUCACCCUCAGCGCGGCCGGGGGCUGCCCUGCGACCGGCGCCGACCCGCUCGAGUCCCCCGACGUCCCCCAGCUAGUCCUGCCGGCCAACAUCGGGGACAUUGAGGUACUGAACCUGGGGAACAACGGCCUGGAGGAGGUGCCCGAAGGGCUGGGGUCGGCGCUGGGCAGCCUGCGCGUUCUGGUCCUGCGCAGGAACCGCUUCGCCCGGCUGCCCCCCGCGGUGACCGAGCUGGGCCACCACCUCACCGAGCUGGACGUGAGCCACAAUCGGCUGACCGUUUUGGGCGCGGAGGUGGUGAGCGCUCUGCGGGAGCUGCGGAAGCUUAACCUCAGCCACAACCAGCUGCCCGCGUUGCCCUCCCAGCUGGGUGCCCUCGCCCACCUGGAGGAGCUGGAUGUCAGCUUUAACCGGCUGCCGCACCUGCCGGAUUCCCUCUCCUGUCUCCGCCGCCUGCGCACCCUCGACGUGGACCACAAUCAGCUCACUGCCUUUCCCCGGCAGCUGCUGCAGCUGGCGGCCCUGGAGGAGCUGGACGUGUCCAGCAACCGGCUGCAGGGCCUACCUGAGGAUAUCAGCGCCCUGCGUGCCCUCAAAAUUCUCUGGCUGAGCGGAGCUGAGCUUGGCACCCUGCCUAGUGGCUUCUGCGAGCUGGCCAGCCUGGAGAGCCUCAUGCUAGACAACAACAGGCUGCAGGCCCUGCCCGCCCAGUUCAGCCAUCUGCAGCGGCUCAAAAUGCUCAACCUCUCCUCCAACUUAUUUGAGGAGUUCCCUGAGGCGCUACUGCCCCUGGCUGGCCUGGAGGAGCUCUACCUGAGCCGCAACCAGCUCACCUCAGUGCCAUCCCUUAUCUCUGGCCUGGGCCGCCUUCUCACCUUGUGGUUGGAUAAUAACCGGAUUCGCUACCUGCCAGACUCCAUUGUGGAGCUGAGGGGCCUGGAGGAGCUAGUGCUGCAAGGCAACCAGAUUGCUGUUCUGCCAGACAACUUUGGUCAGCUCUCGCAGGUGGGCCUGUGGAAGAUCAAGGACAACCCGCUGAUCCAGCCCCCCUACGAGGUCUGCAUGAAGGGAAUCCCCUACAUCGCAGCCUACCAGAAGGAGCUGGCUCAUUCCCAGCCUGCUGUGCAGCCCCGCCUCAAGCUCCUCCUGAUGGGUCAUAAGGCUGCAGGGAAGACCUUACUCCGGCACUGCCUCACUGAGGAAAGAGCGGAGGUAAACCAAGGGGGAAGGGACAAGGAGAAGAGCUACCCGCCUUCACCUCCCACCACGAGCAAGGGCAUCGAGGUGACCAGCUGGACGGCUGAUGCUUCCCGGGGCCUUCGGUUCAUUGUGUACGACUUAGCUGGUGAUGAAAGUUACGAGGUGAUCCAGCCCUUUUUCCUCUCUCCAGGAGCCCUCUAUGUGCUUGUGGUCAACCUGGCCACCUAUGAGCCGCGCCGCUUUCCCACUGCCGUGGGCUCCUUCUUGCAUCGGGUGGGGGCACGGGUGCCCCACGCGGUGAUGUGCAUCGUGGGCACGCACGCUGAUCUGUGUGGGGAGUGGGAGCUGGAGGAGAAGUGCCUGGACAUUCACCGCCAGAUCGCCCUGCAGGAGAAGCACGAUGCCGAAGGGUUGAGCCGUCUGGCUCAGGUGGUGGACGAGGCCCUGGCGCGGGACUUCGAGCUGCGGUCUGCCAGCCCCCAUGCAGCCUACUACGGCGUUUCCGACAAGAACCUUCGGCGGCGGAAGGCCCAUUUUCAGUAUCUGCUCAACCACCGGCUGCAGAUCCUGUCCCCUGUGUUGCCCGUCAGCUGCAGGGACCCCCGCCAACUGCAGCGCCUUAGGGACAAGCUGCUGUCGGUAGCCGAGCACCGGGAAAUCUUCCCCAACUUGCAUAGAGUCCUGCCUCGAUCCUGGCAGGUGCUGGAGGAACUGCAUUUCCAGCCACCGCAGGCACAACGACUUUGGCUAAGCUGGUGGGACUCGGCACGCCUGGGCCUGCAGGCGGGUCUGACUGAGGACCGGCUGCAGAGCGCCCUUUCCUACCUGCAUGAGAGCGGCAAGCUGCUCUACUUCGAGGACAGCCCGGCCCUCAAGGAGCAUGUCUUCCACAACCUCACCCGCCUCAUUGACAUCCUCAAUGUGUUUUUUCAGAGGGAUGCUUCCUUGCUGCUGCACAAGCUGCUCCUAGGGACCACUGGGGAGGGAGAGGGAGAUGCCGAAAGCUCCCCUCUUGUGACACUGCCCACACCGAGCCAGGACCUGCUCCGGGCCACCCAGCUGCAUCAUUAUGUGGAAGGCUUUCUGCUGCACGGACUUCUGCCAGCCCAUGUCAUUCGGUUGCUGCUCAAGCCUCAUGUCCAGGCCCAGCAGGACUUGCAGCUGCUGCUGGAGUUGCUGGAGAAGAUGGGACUCUGUUACUGCCUCAAUAAACCUAAGGGCAAGCCUCUGAAUGGGUCCACGGCCUGGUACAAAUUCCCAUGCUAUGUGCAGAACGAGGUGCCCCAUGCCGAGGCCUGGAUUAAUGGGACCAGCCUGGCUGGGCAGUCUUUUGUGGCUGAGCAGUUGCAGAUUGAAUAUAGUUUUCCCUUUACCUUUCCAGCUGGGUUGUUUGCACGCUACAGCGUCCAGAUCAAUAGCCACGUGGUGCACAGGUCGGAUGGGAAAUUUCAGAUCUUUGCAUAUAGAGGCAAAGUUCCUGUGGUGGUGAGCUACAGACCUGCCAGGGGGGUCCUGCAGCCAGAUACUCUGUCCAUUGCUAGCCAUGCAUCAUUACCAAACAUAUGGACGGCAUGGCAAGCCAUAACCCCCUUGGUGGAGGAACUGAAUGUCUUACUCCAGGAGUGGCCUGGACUGCACUACACAGUGCACAUUCUCUGUUCUAAGUGCCUUAAGAGAGGGUCUCCCAAUCCACAUGCUUUCCCAGGGGAGUUGCUGAGUCAGCCCAGACCUGAAGGAGUGGCCGAGAUCAUUUGCCCCAAGAACGGCAGCGAGCGAGUGAACGUGGCCUUGAUUUACCCGCCCACACCCACUGUGAUCAGCCCCUGUUCCAAGUAUCUUCAUUCUUUCUUGGAAAAUUAAGUGGAAAAGAUAGUACUCCUUUCUCUUAUGCCAUCAUUUUUGUUGUGUCCAAUCUGUGACUUUAGGAGCACCAAUUUUUAAGGGAAGAAUGUAGGGGAAAAGCACAGAAACCAGUGACUUGUGGCUGUGGAAUUCCCAUGGAGGAAACAGGACAUCACCUGGACCACUUUUGCACCUGGCAAACCCUCCACGCUCCCAAGCGUGUUCUGUGAACUUGACUGAACAAGUGUUUUGGAUGCUUUCAGGGGAGGGAGCAAAACCCUGGCCUGAUGAAGAGGUUGGGGUGGGGAGGAUGGGAGAGAAUAUGGAGCAAAUGUUUUACAACCUGAACCUCAGAACUGUGAUCCUCCAAGGAGAGCGCUACUUGAAGAAAAGGAAAAAAAAAAAAAAAAAAAGUCGAAUGGCUUCUCAGGGAUUUUGUUUUCCAUGCACAUAUAAGCCAUAGUUGCAGUACAGGUGGCAGUGUUUGAGUUCUGUUAAAUGUGAAAGAGGGAUCGACUGAUGUUCGUUGCUGUUCCGUAACUAGUGUAAAAUAUGUAUAUGUUUAUCUUUAUUUUUAUAAUAUGCAAAAACAUUUAAAUUUAUACAGUUUGAAGCUUCUAGCGCUAGUUAACACUGGGUGCAAUAUUCUGCAUGAGAACUGUGCCAAGAUGGGGCUGAUUUCUUACUUUAGGGCAAGGUUUUUUUGUUCUUUGUUUAUUCUUUGUUCCUUCUCAGAGGGGAAAAAAAAAGGUAUCUGCCAAUUAGCCCAUGGAUUAAGUGUUGGUUCAUAGGGAUUGCCAAUAAUCUGCAGCAAGAACUUUAAACGUGCAUUUCAGGCAAUGUCCCCUUCCUUUUUUUAAAAGGGAAUCCCUGCCCGUAAAUCCGUGGGCACAGUGGUGGGAUUAUUCCUUUCCUUUCCUCCACAUGUUGUUAGUGCCAGGCAGAGACGAUCCUUGCUCCGGGUUUUGUGUAUCACCAUGGGUCACAGUGGGGAGUCCUGGUGGUCUGGACUGUCCACCCAGUAGCAGAGGCCUGGAGUUAGGAUUCCCCAGGGGUGGGUGGCCUAAGGGACAAAGAGUCCAUGGAGCUUAAAUGAAUCAGGAGUCAUUUGUUCUCAAUAACGCAUUGAGCUCUGCUAAUAAGUACCCCUCUUUCUAGAACAGAGCCUGUGAACUUAAACAGAGUUCUUUGAAAAUCCUGCACAUCUGGAUGUCAGUUAAGACUUAAGAUAGUGAGUUUCCUAAUUGGAAAGCAUAAUCCCACAUUGGCUUUUUAUAAAUACAGAGCCUCUGAUUGGAUGGUUUGCUGCCAAGAACGAGCAAAACUUCUUUCAAAGUCUCCAGGAAGUAAAACUUAAAAAGCUAAACCAAAAAAGUUGCUCUCGAUUCUACUCCUAACUAGGGUCAGACAGCCUGUGCUGCAGUAGUAACACAUUCUUUGAAGAAUGUAAAGGACUCUUUUACAUCUGCCUCCUUUGUGUGUUGAUUGAAAAAAAUGUGUAAAACUGUUUCUCAUCAAUGUGAAAUAAGAAAAGUGAGUCAGCUGGUAUUAAUCUUUUACUUCUUUUAUAAGUAUUGAUUCUUUGAAUGCCACAGUGUACAAAGUCUCAACAUCAUUUUAAAUGAAAUAUCAAACAUACAACUGCAGGGCAAGAUAUCACAAAGCAAUUUUUGUAGUAUAUUUUGUGCCCCAGGAAUUCCCUUCACUGACUCCAGAACCUCCAGUUAAACUGAGACCAUGCUUUCUUAAUGAUCAUAAAAUCAAACGAGAUCAGACCAUUUUUGCAUUUUCAAUACUUGAAUACGACACCUCAAGUUUGAGAUUUCAUUUUCUUUUAGAAUACAGUCAUAAGAUCAUCCGGUCAAUCCUUUUGUCACAGUUCUCUGUGUGUGUGCGCGUGUGUUUGUAAGUAUAAACUGAAUGGUGAUAUUUAAUUGGUUUAUGGACCAUUGAAUUGUUGGGCAUAAAAUGUUUUUUAAUUGGCAUGAGACAGUUCUUAAACUGUCAAAUUAAUCAACUCGGACCAGUCUUUUGCAAAGGCUCUGAAGCAUGUGAUUUAGGGCUUACUCCCCAGGGGACCAUAUUAAAGGGAAAAAACACUCCCUUGGGUGAUGAAUCCUGCAAAGUUUCAUAUUAUUAUGAAUAGAAAUGCUCAUCCUCUUAAUAUCUGCUAUUUUUGACAAGUGAUGUUUUAUGCUGUCAUCUAAGCCCUAGAGAAGCAAGUAACACAAAACCUUGGGGUCACAUGGGUUUCAGCAAAAAAGGUUAUCAUGAUAGAGGAUCAUGUGACCAAAAGAAGCUCCAGAAAAGUUCGAGAACUUGCGUGGAGGGUGGGGAGGUGGGGAGGGAGGGUUGGAUAUACAGAAAACACUCUGCUGUGCAGGACUUUUCACCAUCUAUGCAGGAAAUUGCGAUUCAUCUUCGAACACUGGGUAGACUCAGCAACAGCCAAGGCUGACAGGCAGUUCACUAAGCACAAGAGGAGUUUUUUCCAACCAGGUAGUCUCUUGCCGGUCAAGCAGAUGCCCUCCACGUUUGUUAUGGUUUCUAUUCAUGCAACUUGUGGUUCUAAAACCACUUCCUGGAAUUGUAAAAGCGCUGCCAGAAUAAAUGUUUGUCACCCUUCUAAGAAAAAAAAAAAAUGACAGUGCUCACAGUUGGCAAUUUAUGCAUU